GCCUUUUUUUCCAUUGCCAAUCCAUCACAAAAAAAAAAUAAUUUUUUCGACAACCAUGAAAACCCAAAAAAAACAGACACGGGAUACACACUGAUUAGCGUUUCAGAUUCAUCACAAUUCACAUUAGGCCAAGUUUCAUUGCCAAAAAAAUAAUUUUUUCCAUUGCCAAUCCAUCACAAAAAAAAUAAUUUUUUCUGCUCCUCUCUCUCUCUCUCUCUCUCUGGCGAUUCAAGAACACGAUUUCACAAGAUCUAUGAAGUUUGAACAGAUCGAUGAAGAUUCGGACCUCCCAGAUUCGAUUUCCGGCUUUUAUUGGCGUUUUGCAACAUUCGUCAAAGGUCAUGGUUUAAAGACUAGGUAACGGUUUGAGAAGAGUUCAAGAUCGAGCUAUUGUUUUGUAGUAUGAAGGGGUAUGCAUCUUCCGUCAUAAAUUCUUUCAGGAUCUAUUUGGUAAGCCUUUCUUUCAGAUGGGACAGAAAGGCAUCGACUCCUAUCAUAGCUCUUUCCUUGGAUCGGUUGUUUGCAGGAGAAAGUGAGGAGAAAGUUGUGGUUGUCAAAGGCGAAGUAGAAGAAUAUAAAGAGAAUGUGAGGGCGGUUGUCAAAGGAGGUGCUGCUGGUUUUGGUUUUCAGUUAGAAGCGGUUGAUUAGUAUAGACAUGUUGAGAAGAUACUAUCUGGAGAUGGAUCUGGAAGGUUGCAGGAUCGAGUGAAGGAAACGCUAAAGGAGUUUAUGUGGGCUACACAGAUGAUACUUUUGUGCCCGGCCAAGAAUUUCAGGUGCUCCUACUAACAACAAAGUCACUGCGGUCCUUGAAAAGGCAAGCUCAACCCGCCAGGUUUCUCACCUCUCCUUUGCACUAGAGUAAUGGGUCAAAAGAGGCUUAGGUUUAAAUGGGUCAUCUUUUUUUAGUAUGGGAUGGAUUUUUUGUUCAUCUUUUAUUGUAAAGAUUAUUACGUAGAUUACAAUUACAAAUGACAUUGAAUUUUACCUUCUCUAAGUUCGCGUUUGAAAAGAGUUUCAGUAUUGUUAUACGAAACUUCAGUAUUUUUAAGGCACCUGAUUGCAGUUAGGACAGAGUCGUGGCAGAGAAGAUAGGUUUUAUAAUCCGGAAAAAGCGAGAAGAAACCAUCAAAAUCAGGAUCAACUCCGAUGAGCACAAAGUGAUGCCACUCCAAACCAAAAUCUAUGACGUUGCCAGGCCCUGGGGAGGCUGAGAACCGAGUUGUGAAGUCAUUUAAAGAGGCAUUAGCAAAACACAAAUUGGAUCGACGCACUUUAGGUCUUUCAAAAUGUCUGAAGGAGAAAGAAUUGGUGGCACUUGCGGCCAACCAGGACCUUUCUUUUGUGUAUAAUUUAAAACCCAAGCACCACCAAAGGAGACUAUGAAUUGUAUAGGUAACUAGUUAAUUGCCCUGCCCGCGUUGCGAGGCGUUAAAUCGAAUAUUUCUUAGUUUCAUAACAUGUACACAUGUAUUUUAGUUACUUGUAUAUACUAUUUAUAACACGAUCUCAAAAAAAAAAAAAAAA
rnacentral:lncRNA from 1 species